rnacentral:rRNA from 1 species
GAUGAACGCUGACGGCGUGCCUAAUACAUGCAAGUCGAGCGAACGGACGAGAAGCUUGCUUCUCUGAUGUUAGCGGCGGACGGGUAAGUAACACGUGGAUAACCUACCUAUAAGACUGGGAUAACUUCGGGAAACCGGAGCUAAUACCGGAUAAUAUUUUGAACCGCAUGGUUCAAAAGUGAAAGACGGUCUUGCUGUCACUUAUAGAUGGAUCCGCGCUGCAUUAGCUAGUUGGUAAGGUAACGGCUUACCAAGGCAACGAUGCAUAGCCGACCUGAGAGGGUGAUCGGCCACACUGGAACUGAGACACGGUCCAGACUCCUACGGGAGGCAGCAGUAGGGAAUCUUCCGCAAUGGGCGAAAGCCUGACGGAGCAACGCCGCGUGAGUGAUGAAGGUCUUCGGAUCGUAAAACUCUGUUAUUAGGGAAGAACAUAUGUGUAAGUAACUGUGCACAUCUUGACGGUACCUAAUCAGAAAGCCACGGCUAACUACGUG